CAGGGGAAAUGCUGAAAUCGAUCGUCGAAACACUGUCGACAGUGUUAACACUCUGUCUACACUGUCGGUCUCCUGAUCCCCCUGCGGGAAAAUUACAAACGCAGAGUGAGAUCUCGAUUGUGGCCACCGCUCUUGUUGAAAUCUAGAUUACUCAUCCAACGUUGUUUUAAUCAUGUACUUUUUACAGAGUUUCUUCUUCUCUCUUUUAUUGCAUGACGAACACGAUUUGCUAAAAAGUAAUAGUAGGUGUCAAGCCUUCCUCUAACUAAUUUCCCCCCUUCUUUUCUUCUUCUUCUUCUUCCAAUUACAAUUUUGAAAAAUAAACGUCCUUUUUUGUUAAUUACCAUUUAAUUGCAUUUACUAAUUUCUAAAAUAUAUUCUGAUGUCAUCCCUAUUUUCAUCCGGAGAUUCACGGAGGAGAGGAGAAGUCAAGUAGAUGCCUCCGAUAUGGGCAAGAUGUACCCUGACAACAGUUAUCGUCGCCCCAAAUCGAGAAUUCUCGAUGCCCCAUUUGAGAAACAAUGAUAUCAAUUGAGAAACAGUGGUUUCAACAAUGAUUUCAAACCAUGACCAUUGUUUGAAAACCAUUUUAAAAACAUUGGUUGAGACCAUUUGAGGAACAAUGAUUUCAAACAAAUCUGGAAUAAUGAUUUCAACGGUACGAACCAAUUAUGAAACAAUUCAGAACGUUAAUUGGAACCAUUUAUGGAACAACGAUAUGAACCAAUUCAGAAAGAACAGUUUGAACAUUGUUUGAAACCAUUUGAAAAACAAGGGUAUCACCCAAUUGAAGAACAAUGGUUUCGACAUUUCAGGACCAUUGGUUGAAACCAU
rnacentral:lncRNA from 1 species